rnacentral:misc_RNA from 1 species
UCUCCGUUGGUGAACCAGCGGAGGGAUCAUUACUGAGUUACCGCUCUACAACCCUUUGUGAACAUACCUAACUGUUGCUUCGGCGGGCAGAGGUCCCUCGCGGAUCUCUCCCGGCAACGCCCUCACGGGCGGAGCGCCCGCCGGAGGAUACCAAACUCUAUUUUAACGACGUUUCUUCUGAGUGGCACAAGCAAAUAAUUAGAACUUUUAACAACGGAUCUCUUGGUUCUG